rnacentral:misc_RNA from 1 species
CUGCUCUUCACUAGUCUCAGGGAUCUAGCGCAUUCCGGUUUGGCAACACCGGAACGUCAACAUUGGACACCGAAAGCUCAAGGAACUCGCUCGUUGUGGCUUUUAUUAAGGUUUUUGGUUGUUAUUUACGGCUGACAGGAGGUCAAUCAUGUCGCUGGCACAAGGAGCUCCCCUUUUAUCAAGGCUGGUGUCAUCAUCAGUGGCCAUUGCAGGCCAGGCAGGGCAUCUUAUAAGAGAAAUCAUGAAGAAGGGAGACCUUGGCAUUGUGGAGAAAGAGAGUGUACGAGACCUUCAGACAGAAGCUGAUCGUGCUGCCCAGCGAUGCAUUAUUAGUUCUCUUAAUAAAUGCUUCCCUAAAAUAACAAUAAUCGGUGAGGAAGGAGAGGAGGAGACGAAGGUAGCUAGUGGAAGUAUCUUUGAUCCGUCGACUACAUCGUUGGUUGACGUCACCUGCCCGGCUCACCUGUCGUCAAUGGCAGAAGAGGAGGUUGUAGUUUGGGUAGAUCCUUUAGAUGGCACUGCAGAAUACACGCAAGCUUUCGAAUGCAGUAAGAAUGGCCAUCAGGGGGUUUGUAAAGCACUGGGAGUGGUGUGCUCAAGCUUGCUAGACCAUGUUACAGUCUUGAUUGGCAUAGCCUCAGGUGGGAAGGCCAUUGGGGGCGUCAUUCAUCAGCCCUAUUAUAACUACCAGAAUCCUGGGAGUGAGCUGGGACGUACAAUAUGGGGUAUAGUAGGAGGAGAAGUUGGAGGCAUGAAGAUCCUACCUCCACCAGAGGGCAAGUUGAUUGUGACCACCACAAGGUCCCAUUCAUCAUCGACUGUUAAUGAUGCGAUUUCUGCGGUCUCCCCCGAUGAAGUGCUGAGAGUAGGCGGUGCUGGCCAUAAGGUGAUGCUUCUUCUGGAAGGCAAGGCUCAUCUGUAUGUGUUUGCAAGCCCAGGAUGCAAGAAGUGGGACACCUGUGCCCCACAAGCAAUUCUAGAAGCAGCUGGUGGGAUAUUGACUGAUAUUCAAGGCAAUGCAAUUCCAUAUGAUGCUUCUGCGCCUCACAGGAACUCGACUGGUGUCUUGGCCUCUGCAGCUGGGCAGAAACAUGGAGUAUAUCUUGAGCAGAUUCCUCAGCAUGUCAAGGAUAAUCUGAAAGCAUAGUUAUUCAUAGCUGUCAAUUAGAGAAGGCAUUUUCCUAAACCAUGUUUUAUUUUUUUCAUUCCAGUUUUUGAAAAUUGUCUUUUUAUUGAUUGGACCACCAUUUAUAUAUACAUACAUAUAU